UAAAGGCAGUGCUUUAAGGCCUGACUUUUAAGUCAUGAGGUUCAUCUUUUCAUACGCAAUCCAUGCUGGGGGUCUUUUGGCCAGAAAUAGAUCCAGAAAUGUUCGAAUUUCUCCUCUUCUUUUUAUGGUAUGAUAUGGUUUUUGUUUCUUUCAUUUACAUUGGGGACUAAAGAAACGAUCAGUGUGUAUUGUUCGUUUUAUAGAACUUGUUAUAAGUGUGUAUUUUGCAUUAUAAGCAGUCAACCUGACUACAAACUAUCAAUAGUUGUAUAUUCCGUGUGGAAAGAGGUCGGGUCAAUUUCAAGUGUUAUCUGACAUCUAAAGAUUCUUUAAUUAGUUCAGACGUUGAUAUAACAAUGAAAAGUCGACUGAACAUGAUUAAUAUUGCAUCUUCUAUAAUUCAAAGCGGAAUUCGGUUUAUGAACGAGAAACCGUAAAGCGUUUUCAAUUUCGGUAUUAGUUAUGUAUGUUAUCUACGUAUUAUCCUGGUUCCCGGUACUACGUUCCGGGUAUUAGCUAUUUGAUAUAUUUGAUGUGUAACAUUACAAUCGGGUACCAGCAAAUCUACGUGUGUAUGUGUACAUGAUUUACCGCCAAAAUGACCGACUUAAAAAAUAGUCCAUAAACGUUCCGUAUAAUGAUAUGCAGAUUCAUAAUUAAUCGUAACUUUUUUUUUAUCUUUGUAUAAUUAAUAUAACAAAAUGGAUUCCACAAAAUUGAAAAUAGCAUUAUUUUACGAGGAUUUCUCAUAUUUUUUUCACUGGGUGCAGUAAUACGUAUGUUUUGAAGAAGCUCGAAGAAUUUGACAAAGUGAAUUGAGAAGGAAACGGAUAGAUAUACGUUCUUGCUAUCAGGGCACAAACCCACUUUAAAGAGACUUGUCUACUGCCAUACCCAUCCUAUUUUCAUGCACCAUUUGCAAGCAAGAGACUGAAUGGUUUGCAAAAUUAAAAAUCAGGACGGUGUCCAAUUAAAACAAAAGAACUAAACUGGAUGAAUAUUGUAGGAGAAAUCUAGACAUGCUAGAGGAAAGUUUUGAUUUGUGAAAUUGGUUUUCCUGAAAAGUCAUUCAUCCUAGCCUGCAGAAAGGAACUAUAACUGUCCACCAAAAACUGACGAGCUAAUGUUGAGCUUCACAUAUGGAAUUACUCAAAUACCAUCAAUGUCUAUGUUUUCAGCACAAAUUUCACAAUUUAUGACACAGCUGUGCUUUUUUUUAUACCGUUAAAGAGUUGUAUACCAAAUUUUAUUUUUUUAUCAAUAAAUAUAUAUUAUAUUAA